AUGCCUAACACAUGCAAGUCGAACGAAGGCUUCGGCCUUAGUGGCGCACGGGUGCGUAACGCGUGGGAAUCUGCCCCUUGGUUCGGAAUAACAGUUGGAAACGACUGCUAAUACCGGAUGACGACGUAAGUCCAAAGAUUUAUCGCCGAGGGAUGAGCCCGCGUAAGAUUAGCUAGUUGGUGUGGUAAAGGCGCACCAAGGCGACGAUCUUUAGCUGGUCUGAGAGGAUGAUCAGCCACACUGGGACUGAGACACGGCCCAGACUCC
rnacentral:rRNA from 1 species